GUGGCCGAGAACCGCCACUGCUGCAAAUAAAAAAAAAGAAUGCAAAAAAAAGAAGUCACAACCGAAGUUACAUAUGCACAAAAAAAAAGAAAGAAAUGGUGCAGGAAAAAAAAAAGCCACAACGGAAGUAAACGACACAAAAACUUUUGCAUCGGUAACUAAAGUUGUGGCUUCUUUUUUUUUUUUUUUGCAUUCUUUUUUUAUUUGCAGCAGUGGUGGUUCUCAGCCAC